rnacentral:rRNA from 1 species
UUGAUUGGUGUUAAGUCGAAAUAUGGUUCGUGUAAUGGAAAUUGCACGGGAUGAAUUA